GAAGCAGUUCAUAGAGAAUCACUACAGAGCUCAGAUGAAGAAUAUUCAAGAGCGAAAAGAGAGACGGUGGGUGUUAGAAAGGAAACUAGCUUCUUCUGAUGUGCCCAAGGAGGAACAGAUCAAUCUGAUAAAAGACUUGGAAAGAAAAGAAACAGAAUUUAUACGACUUAAAAGGCAUAAGAUUUGUGUUGAUGAUUUUGAGCUUUUGACCAUCAUUGGUAGAGGAGCCUUUGGUGAGGUUCGCUUGUGCCGGGAGAAGAAAUCUGGUAAUAUUUAUGCUAUGAAAAAGUUAAAGAAAUCUGAAAUGCUAAAGAGAGGACAGGUGAAAUUUUACAUACUAUCACUUGUAUAUUUCUUUUCCUGUUAGCCUAUUCUGAGGAGUAACUUUCUUUUUUCUUCAUCAACUGUUGGAACGUCAUUAUGUAGUUGUAUAUUAGAUGUAUGUUAUCACUUGUAUAUUAUAUGAACUUUUAAAAUGCAUUAUGCAGUUGCAAUUAUCCUUUUGCUUUUAUUUGUUGGGAUAUGCGCUCUUUUGUGUACUGCUGCUUCUGCUAUUGUGUUAUUCAUUUUGCAUGUAUUUCUUUAAUGUUCUGACUGAAUGUGUUUUUUCUCAACAGGUAGAACAUGUUAGAGCUGAAAGGAACUUGCUGGCUGAAGUUGCAAGCCACUGCAUUGUCAAACUCUAUUACUCAUUUCAGGAUGCCGAGUAUUUGUAUCUGAUUAUGGAAUAUCUUCCAGGUGGUGAUAUGAUGACCCUGCUGAUGAGGGAGGAUACCUUGACUGAAAAUGUGGCUAGGUUUUACAUUGCUCAGAGUGUCCUCGCAAUUGAGUCAAUUCACAAACAUAAUUACAUUCACAGGGAUAUAAAGCCUGACAACCUUCUUCUGGAUAAAAAUGGUCAUAUGAAGCUAUCUGAUUUUGGCCUCUGUAAGCCUCUUGAUUGUACAGCUUUAUCUGUGAUUCCUGAAAAUAAAACGAUUGAUGAUGAAAAUAUGACCGAACCAAUGGAUAUUGAUGGAAGUAUUCCUGAUGCUGACAAUAUAAGUAAUUGGAAAAGCCCCCAUGAACAGCUUCAGCACUGGCAAAUGAACAGGAGGAAGUUGGCAUUUUCUACCGUGGGAACACCAGAUUACAUUGCUCCUGAAGUAUUACUGAAGAAAGGAUAUGGCAUGGAGUGUGACUGGUGGUCACUAGGAGCAAUAAUGUAUGAAAUGCUAGUUGGAUACCCUCCUUUUUACUCAGAUGACCCCAUAACCACAUGCAGAAAGAUUGUUCACUGGAGAAAUCACCUUAGAUUCCCAGAGGAUGCAAGGCUGUCACCUGAGGCAAAGGAUCUCAUUUGUAGGUUACUGUGCGAUGUUGAUCAUAGGCUAGGUACUGGAGGGGCACACCAAAUUAAAGCUCAUCCUUGGUUCAAGGACAUUGUAUGGGAUAAACUAUAUGAAAUGGAAGCAGCAUUUAAACCAGAAGUCAAUGGGGAGCUAGACACCCAGAACUUUAUGAAAUUUGAUGAAGUAUUAUACUUUUCUGAUCUUUACUUCUCUUUUUCAUGUACUGUUAAUGUACCAUCUUAUGCCUAUUUCGUCAGAUUAGAUUUAUAAUUUGGACUGUUAUUAGGGCAGCUUCUGUUUAUUUUAUUUCAAAGAAGGCAUAUUUUAAUUACAAAGAAACUAGUAGCAUGAUGGUGAAUUCAUAACAAUGAAAGAUUUAUGGCUUUUUGUGUGAUGUCAUGCCACAGCAGGCAGUGAUGCUUAUAAACUAUCAUAAGGUGCAAUAUAUUUUUUUUUCUUAACUUGAUUAAUAGAUAAUAUGCUUAUGAAAAUCACAGGCAUCAUUUUUGGGGUUUCCUUUUUUUCUAAUAAAUUUUUAGGAUGUACUUUUGCAGUCUUUUAGUCAAAUCCUAAAUCCUAUUGUACUUGUGAUUAUUAAGAAUUCUGAAUCACCACAUGUCAUUUUGACAAUUGGCAUGUGAAUGUAUAUCCUUAAAAAUUUGAUGUACUCUUUGCCUACAACAACCAUGCAGUGAAAGUUUUGGAUGUUGAAACCCCUGUAAAUGUUUUCUGAAAACUGUGGAAAAUGAUAUCCCCUAAACUAUGGCUAUGAGAAAGGUCCAUUAAACAGGAAUUAGCUUUCCUUCUGUUGCUUAAUCAUAUAUGAUGUCUUUUUCUUUAUUAUGUAAACUUUGAGAUAUGGUGUUUUUUAGAAAUCUGUAUUAUAAGUUGCAAUUAUCGAUUUGUCAUCAGAUGGAUCCUCCACCAGCAAGAACUGGCUCUGGACCAUCAAGGAAGGUAUUUUGUUACUUGUUAUUCAUGUUUCUAUAAAUUAUAAUGCAUUAAUUUGUACCAGCAGUUGGUGUUGUCAUCACCGCAUUUCAUCUGCAUAUUUUUUGAGCAAAUUUGUUCAUUAGCAAGGUAGUUUGCUUCUGAUUUAAUAAACAUUUGAAUUUAAACAUAAAUAGGUGAUCCUGGCAUAAAGAUUUACUAAUUAGCUAAGUAAAACAGUGUAACUUCUAGGUUAGACAUUCAUGUCGUUAAGUGCGUAGUGGUUUCAUGCUACAUGGAAAGAAAGAAAAAGAUGCAGUAAGAAAAGGGGAAUGGCACCAUUUGUGCUGUUUCUCUCACUACUUUGGUUAAAAUCCAUAGUAAACAAUAAAAUUAAAUGCUUACUUUAUAAUUUCUUUCCAUGAUUUGCUUUUUCCUGAUUUCUCAUUUCAGACUGUUAUUAUUCAACUUUAUCUGACAAGUAACGCAUUAAAUGAGGAAUUGUAUUUUUCUUUCUUCGAACUUUUUCGGUUUUUUCUUGGACUGCCUGCUUUCCUAUUUUGUACUUGAGACAUUAUUGACGUUGCAAAAAAUCAGCUGUUCUGCUAAUAGAACAAGCCCUUCCCUUAUAGGACUGCUAUUCUUCAUAUAACUGCUUUGGAUUUAGAAAAUAUCCCCUUUUGAUGCAGAUGCUAUUAACUCCCAAAGAUUUAAGUUUUGUUGGCUAUACAUACAAGAAUUUUGAUGCUGUCAAAGGGCUGCAUUCUUUUGGUGGUUCUGGGGCAGAUUAUCCUCCAAAACGGCCUGGCGAGGAAACAGAGGUGCAAAUGCUUGCAUCAUCAGGUGAUCCCAUGCUACCAUAAUAUAACAAAAUCACUAUCCUACAAUGCGGAUGCUUGCUUAUCCCAUUUUGAGUUGGGUGUUUCUCCAAAAUCCAUAACAUGUAUGGGUUGGCUUCCAUACAUCUUGCAGAACCACUGCUCAAAGUGUACAGCAGUUAUUGAGGAACUUAUUAAAAGCCCACUGAUGGGUUAACUGGUAGGACAAGUGAGAUUUUUAUUUUUAUAGCUGAAAAGGCUCUGUGUAUUAGAUUUAGAACAGACCUGUGAAACUUAGGCCCUGGCUGCCCAGGUAGGCUAUGGUAAAACAUGCCUUCUCUAGCGGCAGUUUCUGGUCAAAUUUUAGUGGAAAGCAAACUACUAAGCAAUUCGAUAGAUGUUUUAAUGAAUUAUUCCUCGUUACUGGUUUUGUGUGUAUGUUGUGGACAAAGUGAAUAUUCACUGAAGUUUAGGUCCAGGUCGUUUAAUUACUUGUUGAAGUUUCAGAUUAACCCUUUUGUGCUGUUACUUUCUGGAAUCGUUUUGAAAGUUGCAAAAUUUUUCCAUUCUUGGUAAGGUCUAACGUCCUUUUUUUUAUUUGUUACUUUGUUAGUUAUGUUCUGAAGAUCUUGCAAGUUGCAAUAUCA
rnacentral:misc_RNA from 1 species